UACGAAGGGGGCUAGCGUUGUUCGGAAUUACUGGGCGUAAAGGGCGCGCAGGCGGCCCUCCAAGUCAGGCGUGAAAGCCCCGGGCUCAACCUGGGAAUUGCAUUUGAGACUGCGUAGCUAGGGUGCGGAAGAGGGAAGCGGAAUUUCCGGUGUAGCGGUGAAAUGCGUAGAUAUCGGAAGGAACACCAGUGGCGAAAGCGGCUUCCUGGUCCAGCACCGACGUUCAGGCACGAAAGCGUGGGGAGCAAACAGG
rnacentral:rRNA from 1 species